CAAUAGCGUAUAUUAAAGUUGUUGCAGUUAAAAAGCUCGUAGUUGGAUUUCUGGUUGAAGCGACCGGUCGGGCGUUGAUUCGUCUGCACUGGAGUCGGUUUUGGCCAUCCUCUAGGGAAGUGCGUCUGGUAUUAAGUUAUCGGGCGUAUGAUCCUGGUCUUUUACUGUGAAAAAAUUAGAGUGUUUAAAGCAGGCCUUCGCCUUGAAUACAUUAGCAUGGAAUAAUAAGAUAGGACUUUGGUCUAUUUUGUUGGUUUGCAGACCGAAGUAAUGAUUAAUAGGGAUAGUUGGGGGUAUUUAUAUUCCGAUGUCAGAGGUGAAAUUCUUAGAUUUUCGGAAGAUAAACUUAUGCGAAAGCAUUUACCAAGGAUGUUUUCAUUAA
rnacentral:rRNA from 1 species